GGAAAGAGCGAGGGAAGAGGUGAAUGUGAAGGUGGUUAAAAAGAUUGUGCUAGUGUUGAACGAGGAGUUGGAGGUGGUGCUGAAGGAGAAAAAGAAGGAAGAGGAAGAGAAGGAGGAGGAGGAGGAGGAGGAGGAGGUGGAGGAGGAGGAGGUAUGGAAGCUGAAACCGGUCGAGCGUCAUCUCAUCACCAGGGGCUGCAGCUCACCCUGCCAUCCCCGGGAAUCUCCGGAUUGGACGUCGUGAGAGCUCUGCACCAGACGGUUAUAUCACUGCGAUCAGCGUUGGAUUCAUCGCGCGAAGAACUUCGUCGAUUGAAGGAAAGUGUCGGUGAAUUUUCUGAAGAGAAAUACGUCGAGGUUGUUGAAAGAUUGGCCCUGGAGAAUCACGUUUUAAGGCGUAGGAUCCUUAGCCGUAGUACCGACUUUUCCAAUGAUGCUGCUACGAGUCCGCAACCGACGUCGCCGUCUUCGCCGCCGCUGCUGCUGUCGCACCAGUCUCGUUUCGUUCCACUUCAAGUAGAAGGAGACCCUACCAAGCCAUCAUCAUCGUCAGUGAACACGGCUAGCGCCACGAUGGAAGCGUCAGGGAAUAAAGUUGUCGUCGAGGAGACGGCAGAGACGAUCAGAACAAGUGGGAGCCGGCGAAGUACUGGUGGGUCGAGUCCGGAAACUCAAGCUCGUGGUACAUCGGUGAUACGCCGUGUUCGACGUGAAUUUCCGUCAUUGUCUACGGAGACAUCGGUCGAACAAGAAGAAAACGAAAAAGACCGACAACAGCAACAGCAUAUCUCGGGAGAUGGUACACAGUUUAGAUAUAUUCCGAGUCAAGAUGAUUCCGUUACCAGUGCUAUAGUAUCAGUGCUGUCUAAAGAAAGUAAAGAGGACAUUCGUGAGGACAUCCAGGAUGAUGUCCAGGACGAUAACGAGGGUUCAGUCGUUGUAGAUCGUCUUGAUAUACCAGAAAAAGAUAGUGAAGAUUUGAGUCUUAGGUCUGUUUCCGACGGUGAUAAUUCUGUAUUCAGUGACAAUCCUGAACCUCAAUCGCCGCCUCAGCAAAGACCUAUACAACAGCAAGUUCAACAACAGCAACAUCAAAAUCCACAACAACAGCAACAGCAUAGACAACAGAGUCAGUCGGGUGAACAAGGGAAAUUAAAUGAUCAAUCUGAAAAUGAUUCGGAGGAGCUCGAUGAUAUAGAGCUGAUAUUUACGACCGAUGAUACCUGUAGGGAUCUAGGCCUUCAAGAGGAUCUCGUUUCCAUCACGGAAACCGAUGCCUGGCAACAACCAAGUCCCGCCGGGCAACCGGUCCUCCUAAAAUAUACUAAAUCCGCUGAUGGAGAAUCUCUUGUUUGCAACGGCGAUAAGACAAGUUCCGUUGAAGAAGCAGUCUCAUCUCAAAGUUCAAGUAUCGAUCGCGAAGAGAGCGUCGAUCGAUUCGACGAGAGUUCCAAUACUAGGUUGAACAAGAUGUGGUCUCAAUGUUCUGUACUCGUAGAAACUGAUAUUAGCAAGUGUGGUGUACUAGAGGAACCUGAACAUUCCACUAGGCAUGCAACUAGAAGGAACACUUUGGCCGCACCUCCGACGGCUUACAGGCCAAUAAUACAUCGAGAAGCUUUGGCUGGUAACCGAAGAAAAAGUUCAGCACCUCUUCGUCCUGUAAUGGAUCGGAGUAGUGGUGCCAAACGUGAAUCAGGAGCACAAACCGACAUUUCGGCCCUCCCGGCACAAUGGCGUUCGGAAAGCUAUCUCGCACACAAAGUGGCUCACACGUUUACAACGCUUCCAAGUAAAUUCGCUUUACCGGCUGGUGUACCCGGAAGGCUCAGGUUGUCUGACAAGACACGCGAGGCAAGACGAGUGUUACUCUCGGACAUCAGUUUCACCAGCAUGGUUCCAGAAUUGUCAAGAAGUGCUGAUCAUCUCUGUCACGAUCCGCAUGCACAGACUUGUUUAGGAUCUCGUGGCUGUGGACACCGUACACCGGAAGUAAAUCGUCGGGAAUCCUUAGGAUCACCAGCAGGCUAUUGGCCUCGUUGUAAUCCAGGAACGGCUUUACCAAGUCCUUGCGAUUGUCGUCUGUCGGCCGAUCUUUAUUCCUCGAGAUAUCGAGGUUCCUUGAGCUCGAUACCAUCGCCAGGAUUAGAAGUCGUGAGUGGGCCACCAAGGAGACACUCUUGGAGAGCAACAGCAGCUUCUUUCGACACAUGGAGAGUUCCUGUUGCCACUUCUACACCUAGACCGACCUGGUCCUCUAUGCCAUCUUCUCCCACUCAUGUUCACCCACCUGCUACGUCCUCGAGAUCCUCGAAGAAUAUACCAAAGAGAACACGUUCGAAAGUCACUUUUCAAGAGUGCCCAAUGACGCGUGGCAGUUUACCUAACUUGCGAUCAGACAUAGUAGGUGCCGGUGACAAUAGCGGAGAUUCAACGGAAUCGCUGAUAGACGAGGCGGAGGAUUAUUUGCGUCGCAGUAUCGAUUCGAUGCUGACUAUUUCAAGUACCAGUGCUAAUACGGAUUAUUGGAACAGACAAACAGCGGCCAGACGAAGGAGAACUCGAAGACACUCCGAACCUGAUCUUGCACGCGAGUGGAUUCCCCCUCAGGAUGCGAGACCGUACCUGCCAAAGAUACCAAGAGAUCUGAAGUUAGAUCAUCUUGUAAAAGUAAUCUCCCCGGAAGGAAGAGUACUUCAAGGUCGUGUACGAUACGUUGGACCUGUUCCUGGUCGAGAAGAUUCUCACGUUGGUGUUGAAUUACCAAACGUUAAUGGUUCAUCCGAUGGCACUUUUCAUGGUAGAAGAUUUUUCGAUUGUGAACCUGACCGUGCGAUCUUCGUGCCGUUCAAAAAGGUCGUUUUGGCUUGGUGCACUGCCUGACCCGAUGCAUCCACUUCCAAAGUAACGCCGAGAAUUUUACUCUCACAAUAUACUAUGUAAAUGUGGAUACGGCGGUAUGUAUGUAUAGCACACAUAAGUUUCGCUAUGACUUUUAUAGUACGUUUGCUGUGGGUAUCGUCUCUCUGAAGUUAAUACAUUUCUUCCAACGAUUUUCAAGAGUCGUCGUGGGAAGACCUUACCUGCAUUAAAAAGUCAAAAUUGUUUUCUUAACAUACGUUCGUUCUCUAUACGAUAUUUUAUCUCUUAUAUACAUAUAUAUAUAUGUGUGUGUAUAGUACAUAUAUAUAUAUAUAUAUGUAUGUAUGUAUGUAUAUAUACAUAUAUAUAUAUAUAUACACAUAUACAUAUAUAAAUAUAUAAAAAGAAAAAAUAAAGAACGAGUAAACAAUUUCUUUAUUUUGCUUUCGAAGAAGGCCCAUCUUAAUUCGUCUUGUCGAUUACGACAUAUAGACAUUAUAAAGAGAGCCGACACAGAGAAGCAAAAGAAGAAGAAAGAAAGAAAGAAGAAAAAAAACGAAUAAACAAUUGUAUGAUAGAAAAAAAUCAAGUAAUAUAUAUAUAUAUAUAUAUAUAUAUAUAUAUAUAUAUAUAUAUAAAAGCGAAAGUGGAAAUUAAUGCAUACUGAAUGUAAUUAAGUGGCAAAAGCAUUAUAGGGAGUAACGUUGAUCGAUGUUAAUCGCUGUAAUUACUGUUACGUUUAAAUGUUUCGAUGUGACAUAGAUAGAUAACUCUCGAGGAGAAAAAUAAUUAUGGAAAAGAGAAAGAGAGAGAGAGAGAGAGAGAGAGAAAGGGGUAAUAACGAUGUG